GAUGAAGAACGUAGCGAAAUGCGAUAAGUAGUGUGAAUUGCAGAAUUCAGUGAAUCAUCGAAUCUUUGAACGCACAUUGCGCCCCAUGGUAUUCCGUGGGGCAUGCCUGUUCGAGCGUCAUUUACCCCCUCAAGCUCCGCUUGGUGUUGGGCGUCUGUCCCGCUUCGCGCGCGGACUCGCCCCAAAGGUAUUGGCAGCGGUCGUGCCAGCUUCUCGCGCAGCACAUUGCGCUUCUCGAGGCACCGGUGGGCCCGCGUCCAUCAAGCUCACCCCCCCAGUUUGACCUCGGAUCAGGUAGGGAUACCCGCUGAACUUAAGCAUAUCAAUAACGAGGA
rnacentral:misc_RNA from 1 species